rnacentral:rRNA from 1 species
CACGGGGUAGCAAUAUUCCGUGGUGAGAGCGGCGCAAGGGUGCGUAACACGUGGGUAAUCUGCCAUGAAGUUUGGAAUAACUUGCUGAAAGGCGAGCUAAUACCGGAUGUGACAGCUGGGAAGCAUUUUCUGGUUGUUAAAGUUGGGGACCGUAAGGCCUGACGCUUCAUGAUGAGCCCGCGGCCUAUCAGCUAGUUGGUGAGGUAACGGCUCACCAAGGCUAAGACGGGUAGCUGGUCUGAGAGGACGACCAGCCACACUGGAACUGAGACACGGUCCAGACACCUACGGGUGGCAGCAGUCGAGAAUUUUUCACAAUGGGCGCAAGCCUGAUGGAGCGACGCCGCGUGGGGGAUGAAUGGCUUCGGCCCGUAAACCCCUGUCAUUUGCGAUCAAACCUCAUUAUUUAAAAGAUGAUGAGCUGAUAGUAGCGAAAGAGGAAGGGACGGCUAACUCUGUGCCAGCAGCCGCGGUAAUACAGAGGUCCCAAGCGUUGUUCGGAUUCACUGGGCGUAAAGGGUGCGUAGGUGGUGGGGUAAGUCGGAUGUGAAAUCUCGGAGCUCAACUCCGAAAUGGCAUUGGAAACUGCCCUGCUAGAGG